rnacentral:rRNA from 1 species
AGCGAACGCUGGCGGCAGGCCUAACACAUGCAAGUCGAACGAACCUUUCGGGGUUAGUGGCGGACGGGUGAGUAACACGUGGGAACGUGCCUUUAGGUUCGGAAUCACUCAGGGAAACAUGUGCUAAUACCGAAUGUGCCCUUCGGGGGAAAGAUUACUCGCCGUUAGAGCGGCCUGGGUCUGUUUAGCUAGUUGGUUGAGGUAAUGGCUCACCAAGGCGACGAUCAGUAGCUGGUCUGAGAGGAUGAUCAGCCACAUUGGGACUGAGACACGGCCCAAACUCCUACGGGAGGCAGCAGUGGGGAAUCUUGCGCAAUGGGCGAAAGCCUGACGCAGCCAUGCCGCGUGAAUGAUGAAGGUCUUAGGAUUGUAAAAUUCUUUCACCGGGGACGAUAAUGACGGUACCCGGAGAAGAAGCCCCGGCUAACUUCGUG